CAGAGGCGCCAAGACCGGGCUGGGGGCCAAAGGAAACUGCGGGCGGAGGUAACCGGCCGGACAGCGUGCACAAGCUCCCACCACGGGCCCCCGGAACAGCUGGACAGAGCGGUCUGUGUGCUCGGCCCACCCUCUGCAGCACUCCUUUCGCCUGCCACACCCAUCCAAACCCUCAGCCCAGGCAAAUCUGAGCGGCGAUCUGCAGGAGCUCGGCCGGCGCAGCAGCUGCGCGGCGGAAAUCAGCCGCCUGGGAUCACGUGGGCCUAACCCGGCUCCCUGCUGCUUUAAACCCCGAGGCCCCUGCUCCAGCCUCAGGCUCCCAGCCCGCCCAUCUUUUUCGAGUUCUCACUGGGUCCCUCCAACCCCCAUUCUCGUCCCGAGCGGAAUGUCCCACAGCGAGCGGAGACCGUCUGGGCUGGAAGGGACCGCAAAAAUCCUCAGGCACCUUUGCGCUCCAGACCCCUCCGCAGCACCUUUAAGCAAAGUUGCUGAGCUGCUGAAGGGUGCAGAAGAGUAACUUUACAAUGGAGAAACCUGAUGAAAACCACCUCAGCCAGGUGAUCAAGGUCAACAUCAACAGUGAUAAGUCAUGUCGGCAAUACUUACACAUGAGUAUAUAAAACGUGUGUGUGCAGUGGGAAAAGUUAUACAGCAAACACGCUUGGAACCACCACCCAGAUCAAGAAGUGGAACAUUUCAAGUACAAAACUACUGCUCCCCUAUGGCCCAGCACCCUCACUUCCAGAAACACAAGCAAAAACAUGUACAAGGAUCUUCGCGGAAACAUGUUCUGAAGAGCAAAAACCAAAAUAAAAGGAGUCGGCAGUGUGCUGGCACCUACACGAAUGACUGUGCUUAAUCCCCACACCCCGGCUGGGGAUGAGGUGGGGAAGACGGCGGCUGAGGCUCUGCCACAACAGCUGGCCUGGUGGGAUGGGGGGCAGGGGCCCUAGCUGGCCUGACUCAAGGUUCCUUUAUUUUGGUCCUUUGUACAAAAAUAAAAAAUCUUCAAGUGUUCA